CAAAUAUUUAUUUCUAAUUUACGUCGUACAAUGCAAUCACUGAUGUAGCUGGGAUUUCAGAAAAACAGGGGAGAGAUAAGGCUUUUAUGGUUUUAUCAGGACUUGAAACGAAGUAUUAAUAAUAUACAUAAGAACUAGGGAUUUUUAAAGGAAUCUAAUAGCACUAGGACAAAGAAGGGAUUUGUGACCACAAAACAAAUUGCAUUCAGAACAAGUAAUUAUCUAUAAUAAAUCUAGAGAAUUUCCACCCACGCUUUUACAAACUGGUUGAAAGCUGACAGAAAGAUAUAUCAAUCCAGGCUUCUGCAUGUUACAAAUAAACGAUGCUUAUUUUGCCAAU